rnacentral:rRNA from 1 species
UACAGAGGUCUCAAGCGUUGUUCGGAUUCAUUGGGCGUAAAGGGUGCGUAGGCGGCGCGGUAAGUCGGGUGUGAAAUCUCGGGGCUUAACUCCGAAACUGCAUUCGAUACUGCCGUGCUUGAGGACUGGAGAGGAGACUGGAAUUUACGGUGUAGCGGUGAAAUGCGUAGAUAUCGUAAGGAAGACCAGUGGCGAAGGCGGGUCUCUGGACAGUUCCUGACGCUGAGGCACGAAGGCCAGGGAGCAAACGGG